UACGACCAUGUCAUGUUCAAACAUCGGUUCUCGUACGAUCACCGAAGUUAAGCCAGUUAAAACCGGGUCAGUAUCUAAAUGGGUGACCACUUGGGAAUACCAUAUGCAGU